rnacentral:rRNA from 1 species
AACGACUCUCGGCAACGGAUAUCUCGGCUCUUGCAUCGAUGAAGAACGUAGCGAAAUGCGAUACUUGGUGUGAAUUGCAGAAUCCCGCGAACCAUCAAUUCUUUGAACGCAAGUUGCGCCCGAAGCCAUCAGGCCGAGGGCACGCCUGCCUGGGUGUCGUGA